rnacentral:rRNA from 2 species
CACCGCCCGUCACACCAUGGGAGUGGGUUGCAAAAGAAGUAGGUAGCUUAACCUUCGGGAGGGCGCUUACCACUUUGUGAUUCAUGACUGGGGUGAAGUCGUAACAAGGUAACCGUAGGGGAACCUGCGGUUGGAUCACCUCCUUA